rnacentral:rRNA from 1 species
AUGCAAGUCGAGGGAGAACCCGCAAGGGGGACACCGGCGAACGGGGUAGGAUCAUCUCGGUGACGUACCCUCCGGACGGGGAUAGCCACGGGAAACUGUGGGUAAUACCCGAUGACCUGGCGAGCGAUUAGGGCUUGUCAGCAAAGGUGAGAUUCCACCGGAGGAGCGGCUGAGACGCUAUUAGCUUGUUGGUGAGGUAAUGGCUUACCAAGGCGACGAUGGCUAGGGGGUGUGAGAGCAUGGCCCCCACCACUGGCACUGAGACACUGGCCAGACACCUACGGGUGGCUGCAGUCGAGAAUCUUCGGCAAUGGGCGCAAGCCUGACCGAGCGACGCCGCGUGCGGGAUGAAGGUCUUCGGAUUGUAAACCGCUGUCGGAGGGGAUGAAGUGUAUGGGAGCAAUCUCCUGUAUUUGACAGAGCCUCGGAGGAAGCACGGGCUAAGUUCGUGCCAGCAGCCGCGGUAAUACGAACUGUGCAAACGUUAUUCGGAAUCACUGGGCUUAAAGGGUGCGUAGGCGGUCGCACAAGUCAGGUGUGAAAUCCCCCGGCUCAACCGGGGAAUAGCGCUUGAAACUAGGUGACUUGAGUG